rnacentral:lncRNA from 1 species
ACAACUUCUGGUUUUCCUUACGGUGGUUUCCAUUCCUACCACGGUGGUCAUCCUCAUGGGUUUCCUCAGCCUACAAGUCGAGGACAGCAGGCAGAUAAUGUUUUGAAGAAUCUUCUUAUGUUCAUUGGUUUCUUGGUAAUCCUUGCACUGCUUUAUUGGUAAUCGAUUUGCUUUAAUGAACUUAAUAAAUUUUCCUCUUAGAGUUCAAUGUUUUCUCUUUAUCUGUAAAUACACUAGCAGCAUCGAUUGUCGCUCUUCAUAAGUGAGAAAAGGUUUUCCAUUCAGUACUUGGUUUCGUGUCUCCGAAUCUGUGGGGGACGGUUUCUUUCUCGUAAUUUGCCGUUCUCUUGUCCUUGUUUGGUCAUUGUCUCUAUCCCAUUGUAUCACUCCUUUAAUCUUGGAAGCUCUUUUGUUUCUAGUUUGAGAAAAAAAGGUUAAAGGAUUGUAUCAGUUAUAAUUUUCAUUUGUUGUCUUGUGACUUAUGAUAGGAGAAGCCAGUGGUAACUUAGAUUAUAUCUUAGUCAUUGUUAUUUUUGCUGUAAUUUUAUUUUGAAGGAAGAAAUUCAUUCGCAAGGCCACAAGAGGGUGCCACAUAAUUACAGUAAUAUUACAUAAAAGGAUUGGAGAAUGUCUAUAGCUUAUAGUGCUCUGCUCUAGAUUUUCUCCAGUGAGAGUGACCAUUGAGCAAAAUGCACUAUCUAGAAAAAAGAGUGAUUUUUGUUGUAAUUAAGUUAGAUUAUGUUAUACACACUUGACUUUGGGGUUAGACUCGUACUUCUCCACUACCAACAAGUUGGAAGUUCGGCUUUUACUUAACAUAAGAGAUAUAUAUAUAUUACGUUGUACUAAAAGGAAAAUUACAUUCUGUUAUAAAAUGAGUUUAACAGGGUAUAAGUUAUGUUGAUUACCUAAUUGUUCCUCUGCAUAUAAGAUUUGUUAUGGGGAACUCUUUUAAAUUUAUUAUUCUUAGGUAAGUGGUUUUACUUGGGUUUCUUCGCUAAUAUGUCCCAAGAAAACAAGGUUCCUUAAUUUUGAAUCUUUGAAGAGUUAUUUAUAAGUUAUGGGUUGACUCAUUAGCGUACUGGUAGAGUUGUCAUAAUUAAGUUGGCCGAAUCUUAACAAUCUCAUUACGUUUAUGGGCGAAAAGAAUGUUUUAAAUGUUUUAUGACAAUUAAGUUCUCUUAACUAGAGAAACCAUAACAGGUUAAAAACCUAACCCUUGCUUUCUUCAUUCCUAAAAUCAUGGGUCUUUCUUUCUCACAUCAUCAUCUAGUCUUCAUAUUAGUUUAUUGUUAGUGGAGAGAACAUAUGUCAGCAAACUGCUGCACGACAACAUGUUGUUUGUGUCAACACUGUCAUUGUCAAUAUUAGUAUCGUUGAAAGAAUGUUCAUUGAUUUACCAGUUUGUAGUUCUUUGGUUCUAAACUGGAUGAGAUUGGAGAUCACAGAAAAGCACACUUUUAAGGUAGUGAAAAUGCGAUCACUGUGUAGAAUUAUUCAGGAGAGAAGUAUUGUCUCUUCAGCGAUAAGGUUCAAGCUCAGCACUGAUGGAAAUAAAUGUAUGCUCGUGAAAGUACAAAGUUUCGAACUACCUUGUGAUGUGGCAUAUCAGGAUUCCUGAAUUACUUGAGAUCCUCGAUUAGUAUUCCCAUGCUCUGGGGCUAAUAUUAGAUAGUUUGCACUGUGGGUUAGGGGUGUGAAAGACAAGGAAUAUUCUGAGAUUAUUGGAAAAUUUUUCCUGGUAUGAAGAAAUGUCUAACUUCGGCAUAGUUUGGUAUAUGAAAACUUUUUUGGUUUUUGUUUUCUGUUCUCUCAAAUGCUUAUAUAGAAAAGCAUGUAUAAUGGUUGAAUAUAAAUUAGCUCAGAAAAUGAUAGUGGAAGUGUGGUGUCCAGUAGAAAUUUGAUAAUUCUAUAGUCAUACUUUUGAAUCGAUAUCUCGAAUAAUUUCCUACUUCAGAUAAUUGAGACCUCUUCCUCCUACCAUUCUUUUCUUAUGGGUCUAGAAUUAGUAAUUCGAUGUUGAAACCAGACCUGAAUACUUGCUGUUUGACAUCAAGAACAGCCUAUGAAAACCUAUUUGGUUUGGCAAUUGCCAAAUUUUGUUGGAAAUAUGUUGCUGUCGAUGGUGUUCGGUUAGCGUACCAUACCAACAAGCUACAUAGUUUGGAAUUGAAUAGAAUUAGCGUGUUGUAAGUAGUGAAAAGGGUUUUUGGUGAAGUGUUGAUUUCUUAUGCUUAAUUUUGGAGACAUGUGGUUGUACUUUUGUCUUGCUUCUGUUGUUAUUAUUUGCUAAUCCAAGAGUGUAUUAGUAACAGGACAGCCUAGUCCACCGCAACAAUCCUCUCUGGCUCUUUUGGAUGAUUGUUCCCAACUCUGUCAAAAUGAUGAGCAGGAGAAUAUUUAGGCUAUGUAUCUUAUAUGUAAUAUGUAUUUUCUUUUUUCUAGUUUGUUUUUAAAUUUGUGCAAGUUUCAACUAUGUAAACUCAGAAGUAAAUCUUCGGCCCUACCAAAAAUAAAUGAAUUCUGGAUGUUGAUUAUUUAUUUUCCUGCGUACACUUUUUCCCAGUUAUUACAACUGUAGAGAGGAACAUAUAGAAAGAGUCAAACUUGUAUGCGCGAAGUCAUUUUUCUAAGUCGAAAGGAGAUGACAUUAAACAGAAUACGUCCGAUGAAAUUAGUGUUUGUAGACACAAGUCGCUGCUGAAACUAAAUUAUGGUGUCGUUCGUCAAUGUUUUAUUCAACUGGGAUUUCAAUUUCAAUUUCAUUUAGUUAAGAGAGCGUGUGAUUUUUUACCAAAUUGGAUUGGAAAUUACGAAUAAAUCAAUGGGUGGCUUUCAAAUUCAAUUGAGGAACCGUACAGUAAGGUCUGACCCCCUCCCCCACCAAAUUCCUUUUGACUUUUCUGUUCUUUAUUUAUGUAUUGUACGGUUCUUUUGAUCUUCUAUGCUUCCGUGGGUCACCAAUACUUUUACUACUAAUCUCCUACUUAUUCCAUUACCAUUGAAGUGGUUGAUUAUAAAUUCCAUAAUAUUCAUUCUGUCC